UUUGUAUUCAUUCUCUUUUGUUUGAUAUAAUCCAAAAUUUACAUCACCACCCAAGUUACUCAUAAAAUACACUUUUCUAUUUUUUAAGUGUUUCUCAAAUUUGAAUAUCAACUUCUUCGCAUAAUGGCAUGAGUUAUAUACAAAAAUUAGAUUAAUUUAAAAUGUCGUUUUUUUACAUUCAUUAUAUACAAAUAGGCGCAUCAAUGGGAAUCAUAUCUAGAUAGAACGGGUGUCUAUCACAGUUGAUAUUAUUAACAAACCAAACAUGAAUUAUUCGAACAACUCGCUUCAUGAUUCUCUGAUCGAGUUGAUUUCAUAGAUGUUAUCAAAUCUUGGUGUCAUGACAAUCUUUUGGAGUUUGACAACACUAUUUGGAAGAAAUGUACAAGUGGGAAUGAUGGAAGAAACAUAUACUAUGUAUAGGAAAAAUAAUAAAAGCAAAUGAUAUCAUGGACAAAUUAAAAAUAUGAUGCAAAAUUGGCUAAUCCUAAAAUGCUUGAUUGGCUUACAACCUAAAAAUAUCUAGAGAGACAUCACAAACAAACAAAACACGGACAAUCCGAACAACCACGAUCCAUGAUUCCUUCACAGGGCUGAUCUCAGAGAUGUUAUCAGAUCUUGAUGUCACUAUAAUCUCGUUUUUUAGAUUGAUGGGGAGGAGGAAUAGAUGAAUGAGACAAUUGAAUAAGAACGGAG
rnacentral:lncRNA from 1 species